rnacentral:misc_RNA from 1 species
AUCAUCAUCCCAGUAUCUUGCUCCGGCAAGUGUUCCCACAGUGUCAUUGACCAGGGCAGACACUUGCAUAUCCAUUCCUCGCCUCUCCAUGGCUUCAUUCAGACAAGCAACAACAUCUUUUCCCGCAGUUCCAGAGACAGCAAAACCUUUUGUCCAUUUGAUUAGGAUUCCAGUUCUUAUUGAAGUCUGUUUCACCGGAAAAGAAAACGUGAAUCCUAUUUCCCUUGUCCGUCCCUGUUGCAACUCAAAAUUACCACCUUCCUUUUGUGCAAAUUUUCCUAGCGCAGAAGCUAUGAAAUCGAACAGCUCCUCGGAGGUAGCAAACAUCAGUUCUUGGGGUAUAGAGACUUGCUCAAACUCAGUGGCGACUACACGCUCUUCUUUACCACCUAGCUGCACCCUUAGCACCCGGAAAUUUGUACCACCAAGGUCCAACGCAUAAAACAAGCCUUUCUCAUUCCCAGUUGGUAGAGUGUCGACAUAACUAAGGAUCAUCUUCAGAUCACUGCCGCCGUCGACGGCAAGCCCGGCCCUCAUAUCAUCGGCCAUUGCAUCCGCCACGUGGCGCAAAACUGGAAGAGGAGUAGCACAAUCUUUCUGCAACUUCGUCAAAAUUGGUGCUACUCCUAAGCUGUCAGUAGAUCGGACGGCAGAUAUAAUGACACGUGGCCUAGAGAUCGUUUUAUGAGGUGAUCGUGAAACAUGGAAGGAUCGGACGGCCGGCGAGCUAACGGUGACCGACAUUUUGGGUAACAGUGAGAUCAAUUCAAUUGUGUGACGGAGAAAAAAAGAGAGACA